CAAUAGCGUAUAUUAAAGUUGUUGCAGUUAAAAAGCUCGUAGUUGGAUUUGUGGUUCGUCCUGCCGGCUGGGUCAUUGACUUUUGCUGUGCUGGUCGUCCAUCCUUGGGUGGAAUCUGUGUGGCAUUAGGUUGUCGUGCAGGGGAUGCCCAUCAUUUACUGUGAAAAAAUUAGAGUGUUCAAAGCAGGCUUAUGCCGUUGAAUAUAUUAGCAUGGAAUAAUGAGAUAGGACUUUUUUGCUAUUUUGUUGGUUUGCGCAAAGAGGUAAUGAUUAAUAGGGACAGUUGGGGGUAUUCGUAUUCCAUUGCCAGAGGUGAAAUUCUUGGAUUUUUGGAAGACGAACUACUGCGAAAGCAUUUACCAAGGAUGUUUUCAUUAA
rnacentral:rRNA from 1 species